UACGUAGGAGGCGAGCGUUGUCCGGAGUUACUGGGCGUAAAGGGUGCGCAGGCGGUGGCCCGCGUGGGCGGUGAAAGCUCCUGGCUCAACUGGGAGAGGGCCGUCCAGACGGGGUCACUUGAGGGGCGGAGAGGGGCGUGGAAUUCCGGUGGAGCGGUGGAAAUGCGUAGAGAUCCGGAGGAACACCGACGGCGAAGGCAGCGCCCUGGCCGCCAUCUGACGCUCAGGCACGAAAGCUGGGGAGCGAACAGGAUUAGGAA
rnacentral:rRNA from 1 species